GACAGAGGGUGCAAACGUUGCUCGGAAUUACUGGGCGUAAAGCGCGUGUAGGCGGGCUGGAAAGUCGGGCGUGAAAUCCCCAGGCUCAACCUGGGAACUGCACUCGAAACUCCCAGUCUAGAGUGGUGGAGAGGGAAGUGGAAUUCCUGGUGUAGAGGUGAAAUUCGUAGAUAUCAGGAGGAACACCAGUGGCGAAGGCGGCUUCCUGGACACCAACUGACGCUGAGACGCGAAAGCGUGGGGAGCAAACAGG
rnacentral:rRNA from 1 species